AGAAAAUGGGAAUUUCGGCAUGGCCUGUAGCGCCCCCUAGGGGCGAAUGUUGGCCAUUCUUUGCGCAGUACUUCAGAGUGAUGUCAUCUUGAAGCAUGUUAGGUUUGAAAAACCAUCAGUCAAAAUUACAUUUGAUUUAUUGACACGUAUAUAUUGUUAAAAUUUGGACAUUUACAUAAACACGCCCCUUUCAGCCAUUUUGUAUCGUAUUCAUUUUUCCUAAGUAACGUUUUCAAAGACUUCAAUUCUACACAUGUGUACCAAAUUUCAAGUCAAUUGGAGCUACGGUUCAGGAGAAGAAGAGUUUUGUAGGUUUUCGCAAAUUUUCAACGUACGGAAAAAUCCAUCAUGGCGGAAGUUAUGGGUUCUUGAGGCUUUUUUGUUCCCCAUGAGAAAUGAGGCAUGUACACCAAGUUUCAGGAGAUUUGGACAAAUGGCGUGGAAAUGGUAUCACUUUGAA